AGUUACAUUGGUCCCCUGUAGUCCGCCUCCUAUUAGCAGGACGGGUAGGGUAUAUCGGCCUAUGGAUAAGCAUCCUUUGUGGUGUAUUCUUAUCACGUGGUUCGUCUCGGACAUAGACAUACCCCUUUGAAGUUCAGAAACCAUAGUUAUCCUCUCUAUUCUGCUACCAUCGCCCAUAUACUAGAUUGCUCUACUCUCUAUUCCCAUAUUAUCACCCAUUGUUAUCUUACCUUUAAUAUUGUUCUUAUUCAAUUCUAUCAUCUUUCCUAUUUACAAUUAUCUAUCUAUCUUGGCUAAGUUAGAGCGUAGUUGGUUCUCUCGUUUCCCUGU
rnacentral:lncRNA from 1 species